CUGCCGGGACGACCCGUCAGUCAUGAACGUUUCGUGGGACGACCCAC
rnacentral:ncRNA from 1 species